ensembl:miRNA MIR4666B microRNA 4666b
UGUCUAAAUUGCAUGUCAGAUUGUAAUUCCCAGGCCCUUCCUCCAAUACUGGGAAUUACAAUUUGACAUGCAAUUUAGACA